rnacentral:rRNA from 1 species
AGAACGAACGCUGGCGGCAUGCCUAAUACAUGCAAGUCGAACGAAGGCUUCGGCCUUAGUGGCGCACGGGUGCGUAACGCGUGGGAAUCUGCCCCUUGGUUCGGAAUAACAGUUGGAAACGACUGCUAAUACCGGAUGAUGACGAAAGUCCAAAGAUUUAUCGCCAAGGGAUGAGCCCGCGUAGGAUUAGCUAGUUGGUGAGGUAAAGGCUCACCAAGGCGACGAUCCUUAGCUGGUCUGAGAGGAUGAUCAGCCACACUGGGACUGAGACACGGCCCAGACUCCUACGGGAGGCAGCAGUAGGGAAUAUGGACAAUGGGCGAAAGCUGAUCAGCAAUGCGCGUGAGUGAUGAAGGCCUUAGGUGUAAAGCUCUUUACCCGAGAUGAUAAUGACAGUAUCGGAGAAUAAGCCCGGCUAACUCCGUGCCAGCAGCCGC